rnacentral:rRNA from 1 species
AUUGAACGCUGGCGGCAGGCCUAACACAUGCAAGUCGAGCGGAUGAAGGGAGCUUGCUCCUGGAUUCAGCGGCGGACGGGUGAGUAAUGCCUAGGAAUCUGCCUGGUAGUGGGGGAUAACGUCCGGAAACGGGCGCUAAUACCGCAUCCGUCCUGAGGGAGAAAGUGGGGGAUCUUCGGACCUCACGCUAUCAGAUGAGCCUAGGUCGGAUUAGCUAGUUGGUGGGGUAAAGGCCUACCAAGGCGACGAUCCGUAACUGGUCUGCGAGGAUGAUCAGUCACACUGGAACUGAGACACGGUCCAGACUCCUACGGGAGGCAGCAGUGGGGAAUAUUGGACAAUGGGCGAAAGCCUGAUCCAGCCAUGCCGCGUGUGUGAAGAAGGUCUUCGGAUUGUAAAGCACUUUAAGUUGGGAGGAAGGGCAGUAAGUUAAUACCUUGCUGUUUUGACGUUACCAACAGAAUAAGCACCGGCUAACUUCGUG